UAGAGGUAGCGUCACUACAAGGAUAUCCUCUGUAAAGCAAUACAAAUUCAACAACGUGUUGACCAUAUGUUGCAAAAUUUUCCAUAGACACGCAUAUAAGCGAUGCAGCAUAUGCGAUGUAGAGUUGCAGCUCAUUACCCUAUCGUGGUACAAUUGAGAAAAAAAACUGAGGAAAGGAGAGAGAGAAAGAGACGCGCGAGAAACAGAGCCCCCGCCCUUUAUCUCUCCCAAACCGCCGCCACCACCACUUUGUCUUCCCCCUCCGAUCCACCUCGCUGCCGGCCCUCCCCCUCCCCUCCUCCUACCUUGCAGCUCCGGAGGCUGCCGGAUCCACAUCAUCCCUACCCACCCAUCCCUCUCGCGACCCAUCUCUCUCUUCACGCGGCUCCUCGCUGCUCAACCUGCGGCGGCUGAUUCAAGCGACGUCCGGCGAAUCUCGCCACCGCGAAGCACAGCCCCAGGCCCCCUCGCAUUGUGGCGCCCUCCCAUAUGGCUAGAUCCGGCCCUCGCGGACACCAAAGCCUACCCGCGACCCUACCCCAUAGCUAGGGUUCGGGCGUCGGCUCCGACGCCGGUGGCCAUGUCGUCCUCCUCUCGUCCGACGUGCAACCAACUGGCUGUAUAUCCCUUCUCUCUACAGGGAAAACCAAUCCCAACUGAAAACCAAUCCUAACCAUAGGUGCUGCCUACGACAUGGGUGACAUGAUGGAAGUAACCAAGUCCUCCAUUGUCCAGUCAUGGACGUGACUCAGUUCCUAUCUUCAGGUUUGGCCCCGUUAGAUCAGGUAAGACGCUCAUGUCCCCAUUGAAGAAAAAUAAACAUAUGUGUAAAAUCCUCUUAUCAAUUUGACCAUUAGAUUUUUUAUUUUCUUUACUGAAAAAUACUGCUGCUUUGUGGAAUUUCUUCAUCUUAUAAUGUUCUCCCGUGUAAUUUGAACAGAUGAAGCAUAAAUAUACUAUUUCUGUUGUACAUCUUAACUUAGUAUACGAUGGCUUGCUGUGCACAUACUACAGCCACGAUAUGUAUAUGGUUCCUUAUGUAUUACCACGUUGGUUUGAAACUGAGCGGAAUUAUUUCUUUUGCUGUUUAAUGGUUAGUUAUUGAUUUAUAUUUUGAAGAUUCUGCUCCUGUUUCCCUUCCGAAAUAAAAGUUGAUCUUCAAGUUUCCCACAUAUGAUUAUUAUGUACGACUAUAGCAUCAGCAAGGUGUUUUUAAUUAUUACCAAGUGAUGAAUAUUUGAACCACUAUUUGGCGGUAAGUUAGAAGCUUUCCCUUGCUUUCCGAAAAUAAUAUGGGUACUUCUGUUACAGCUCGGAGCUGAUGUAGUGUUAUCUCAGUACAGUGUCCAAUAUAAAUUUUGUUCUGUAUUCAUAUCCACUUCUAGUCAAAAUAAUCACAGUUGUAUUAUCUUUUUGACUGCCUUUUUGUCAACAUGGUAUCUCGAUGUAUCCUUUAAAAAUCAUGAAUAAUAUUUAAAUAUUAGAAGUUUGCCUUUUCAACUAAAAAGGAUAUUGUUAUUGUGGUUAACAUGAGUUCAGGACAUAGUGUUUCUAUAGAUGUAUUUCUUCGGAUACUAUUCCCCACUAAUAGUCAGGAAUGACUUCUAUUCUGCCUAUUACAUGUAUAAAAUCUGGAAAGAACUAAUGGUUUAGUUCUGCAAAUUCUAUACGGAAAGGGAAAGAACAAACUAGACACAAGGAUAACCUUGAUGGACUAUUAUUUUUUAAUACUAUCAGCCUGUACUCAUGAAAUACACUACAAGGAAAUAAUCACCUACAAGUUGUCCCUAUAUAAGGUACUCUUUUGGCCAUUCCACUACAAAUUAGUUACUCUUUCAGCAAUUUCAAUACAAAUUAGUGUGUUUUGCCCAAUAUUAUGUACCUAGAACAAUAUACACCCUAUCGAUUUACAACCAUCCAUUUCUGGGUCUAGAGUUUGAACCAUCUCUUUUUGUUCAUUGUCCCAAAAAAUAUUUACUCAUCGUUGAACAAUAACGUAAUGACUGCCAUAGUAAGAAUUUGAACAACAGUGUGCAUGUUCUUGAUGAUGAUCCCAUGAUAAGUCAGCAUUAUCUUUUUUGAAUUGGCAGGUAAGGUCCUACCGACGACAAUAUUUGACUUCGUUGUAUUUUUGUUCCUCUCACGAGACAUCAUACCAGAGUUGAAACCGAACUGAAGGGGGACGCCAUGGAGCAAGUCGAGUUCGUGGAGAAAGUCAUUGACGAUGCCAAGGAAGGUACACUCUCUCCCUCUCCUUACCGUGCUACUGCUCGUUGUGUCCAUGGCCAUUGAGCUGUGCUAGGUUCUGUGCUGUUGUCGACGCACAUUUAUAAGAUUUGGGGCUGUAGGUUUCAGUGGAUUUAUUUAGAAAUAAAUAGAUCUGUUGGUUCACUGAAAACAGUUUUACUGUAGAUGUAAAGAAUUAGCAAUGGAUCUCUAGGCUGGUGAUGACCAUGUAAAUUCAUUUUAGUGGAUUUGGGGUUGUAGGUUUGUUUCAAAGCGUGGUGAGCACUUAUAGGUUUCCCUAUUUCCUGUUGGAUGACUGAAACCAACUAGAAAUAUAUAUUUUGGUUCAGUUUCAGAUGACAAACCGUUUUGGUCCAGUUUGCUAACUAACUAGAGAAGAAACGAGAAGUGGUACUGUCAAUCACAUUGCCCUAUGCACAUCAGCACUUAGGCUAAUGUCCAUAUAAUUUUAUUUAGCCAUGUUUUCUGCAGGUUGUGUCAUAUAUUGUGGCGUCUGGAUUAGUCAUCAAGGACAACUAACACUCAUGCUGAUUCAAAAGAUACAUGGAUGAUUAUAUGGGUGCAUGGCAAGUACACUGCAAUGUGAUGAUGAUGAUGAUCUUCCAGUUCAUGAUGAUGAUGAUGGACGCAUUCAGUUUUAGUUAAGUUGUAGGGAUGUUGUUCCUAUUCGAUGAUGUUCCUCGGUUAUGUUUUAGUUAAGUAUCAGGGAUGUUGAUGGAUGCUUUUAGUUUAAGUUUCUUUGUCGAGAAAAUAUUUAGAUAUGCAUCACAUUUGGAUGCUCUUCCUCCUGUAAUAUCCACUACUGUAAUCCAACAAUUUUAUCCAAUAUAUGAUUUCUUCCUCUUGUGAGUA